rnacentral:tRNA from 1 species
GAUCCCAUAGCUCAGUUGGAUAGAGCAACCGUUUCCUAAACGGUAGGUCACAAGUUCGAUUCUUGUUGGGAUCA